AUGCUACCCCGGGGAUUCAAAGGUUUGCCAGAGCUGAGGAAACUUAGUCUGGCUAGUGUCUUCUUAAAGGAAAACUGUCAAUACCAACUGCAGGAGAUCAUUGCGACCUCACCGCUGCUCGAGGUGCUGUCACUUCGGGAUGUGAAUAUCCCUGGUGAACUCAAACAGUGGGUGAUUCAGGGGCCUAAUCUGGGAUUCCUCCAUAUUCUUUCGCUUGAUGAUUAUGGUUGUGACCUUGGGGAUCUUCCGCGACUGGAUUCUGCUGUUAUUGAUAUAUGGGACUAUUUAGCCGACCGUGAUUUCUCCAAAUUUCUCUGCAGCCUUGCGACCCUUACCAAGCUUCAGAUAUCUACUUAUCAUCAACCGAGGUUAUUCUCUGUAAAGCAAGGCUUCUUCGCACAUUAUCCAUAA
rnacentral:rRNA from 1 species